rnacentral:rRNA from 1 species
GACGAACGCUGGCGGCGUGCCUAAUACAUGCAAGUAGAACGCACAGUUUAUACCGUAGCUUGCUACACCAUAGACUGUGAGUUGCGAACGGGUGAGUAACGCGUAGGUAACCUGCCUGGUAGCGGGGGAUAACUAUUGGAAACGAUAGCUAAUACCGCAUAAUAUUAAUUAUUGCAUGAUAAUUAAUUGAAAGGCGCAAUUGCACCACUACCAGAUGGACCUGCGUUGUAUUAGCUAGUAGGUGAGGUAACGGCUCACCUAGGCGACGAUACAUAGCCGACCUGAGAGGGUGAUCGGCCACACUGGGACUGAGACACGGCCCAGACGCCUACGGGAGGCAGCAGUAGGGAAUCUUCGGCAAUGGACGAAAGUCUGACCGAGCAACGCCGCGUGAGUGAAGAAGGGUUUCGGAUCGUAAAGCUCUGUUGUAAGAGAAGAACGGGUGUGAGAGUGGAAAGUUCACACUGUGACGGUAGCUUAACAGAAAGGGACGGCUAACUACGUG